CACGUAGGGGCGAGCGUUGUCCGGAAUUACUGGGCGUAAAGGGCGCGCAGGCUGUUAUGCGAGUCUGCUGAGAAAUGUACCGGCUCAACCGGUGCCUUGCGGCGGAUACUGCAUAGCUGGAGUACUGGAAAGAGAAGUGGAAUUCCCGGUGUAGCGGUGAAAUGCGUAGAUAUCGGGAGGAACGCCGGUGGCGAAGGCGGCUUUCUGGCCAGUUACUGACGCUCAUGCGCGAAAGCUGGGGUAGCGAACCGGAUUAGAUACCCU
rnacentral:rRNA from 1 species